rnacentral:rRNA from 1 species
CCACACAAGCGGUGGAGCAUGUGGUUUAAUUCGAUGCAACGCGAAGAACCUUACCUAGACUUGACAUCCCGGGAAUUCUUAGGAAACUAAGAAGUGCCUUUCGGGAGCCUAUACAGGUGUUGCAUGGCUGUCGUCAGCUCGUGUCGUGAGAUGUUCGGUUAAGUCCGCUAACGAGCGCAACCCUCGUCGUAUGUUACAAGUGUCAUACGAGACUGCCGGUAAAAAGCCGGAGGAAGGUGAGGAUGAUGUCAAGUCAGCAUGACCUUUAUAUCCAGGGCUACACACACGCUACAAUGGUCUGUACAAUGGGUAGCCAAGCCGCGAGGCGGAGCCAAUCCUGAAAGCAGGCCUCAGUUCAGAUUGCAGUCUGCAACUCGACUGCAUGAAGCCGGAGUUGCUAGUAACCGCAGGUCAGCAAUACUGCGGUGAAUACGUUCCCGGGUCUU